rnacentral:rRNA from 1 species
UACGUAGGUGGCAAGCGUUAUCCGGCUUUACUGGGUGUAAAGGGCGUGUAGGCGGGAAAGCAAGUCAGAUGUGAAAACCAUGGGCUCAACCUGUGGCCUGCAUUUGAAACUGUUUUUCUUGAGUACUGGAGAGGCAGACGGAAUUCCUAGUGUAGCGGUGAAAUGCGUAGAUAUUAGGAGGAACACCAGUGGCGAAGGCGGUCUGCUGGACAGCAACUGACGCUGAGGCGCGAAAGCGUGGGGAGCAAACAGG